UAGUUAACACAUUUAAAGUACAGAAUUCCUGGGUGACUUUAUCAUGUAUCUGCUCACAUCUCAGUAAAGCUGUAUUUUUAAGGAUAGGGAUACACUGUGGAUUCGUGCAUCAGCUUUUCAGUGAGUUCAGUGCUAAGCAAGAUCUAGUAGCCGGGUCCUCCUAACCAAAGUGUAGAAACAGAUGUACCUGUUCUUAACACGGAACCCUCUUUCUACACGCCAACCAGUCUCCCUUCAAAGUUUCUGCUGCUGCUGUUGCUGCUGUUACAUGCUGUCAAGUCACCUCCAACUUCUGGUCACCCUAAGAGAGAUCUCUUUUAGGUAUCCGGCUGCAGAGCCAGAGGUUGGGAGUUCGAUUCCCCCACUGUGCCCCUGGGAGAAGAACCAGCCGGUGUGGCCUUGGGAGCAAGCUGCACACUCCCGGGGCAACUCCCAAAAGAAGCGGGAGAAGAGCCAGCCGGUGUGGCCUUGGGGGCAAGCUGCACACGCCCAGGGCAACUCCCAAAAGGAAGGGAACGGCAAACCACUUCUGAGUAUUCUGUACCUGGAAAACCCUGGAAAAGGUCACCAUACAUUAACAGUUCCUGCCAGAGUUUCUGUCAAGCCAAAGAACGAAAAGAGUAUAUGUCUAUGUACAACAGAAUCCUCCAUUAUCUCCAUUUUGGUCCACCAAAAUAUUGUCUCAGCUUGAGUUGACUGUGCACCCUCUUGGGGUUGAUGGCUGCUGUUCUGAGGAAGAGGAAGCUCUCUUUCCUUCCAGAAUAGACAUCCUGAUCCAUUCAUCAACUAAGACUAGUGAAUUUGGAACAGCUUUGGUGAAACUCACUGCCAUCCCAGUGCCAAAAAAUGCUAUGGAAGCUCCGUUGUGACUACACAGCCUUGGCAUCCGGCUGAUCUGCUAAGUCUCAGAAGGAGAGGUGGGUCUGAAUUUUGUACUGUUUUACUUAAGCUGUUCUUUUCUCCCUCACUGCCAAAAAGAAAGAAGGAAAAAGAAAUUGGGAGCAAGGGAGAGACAGAGAGAGUAGGGCAAGGAGAUAUAUUUUGUGUAAGAAAGGAAAAAGACAUUUUUUUUACACCAGAAAAAUAAGAAAAAUAAAAUGUGUUGCGAGUUGAAGCUAACA
rnacentral:lncRNA from 1 species